GCUUAGCCCUGAUUGAAGUGGCAUCCUUUUUGUUUUUACAAAAAGAUACAACGUAAAGCAGGAAAUAGC
rnacentral:sRNA from 1 species